GACGAACGCUGGCGGCGUGCUUAACACAUGCAAGUCGAACGGAAAGGCCCUGCUUUUGUGGGGUGCUCGAGUGGCGAACGGGUGAGUAACACGUGAGUAACCUGCCCUUGACUUUGGGAUAACUUCAGGAAACUGGGGCUAAUACCGGAUAGGAGCUCCUGCUGCAUGGUGGGGGUUGGAAAGUUUCGGCGGUUGGGGAUGGACUCGCGGCUUAUCAGCUUGUUGGUGGGGUAGUGGCUUACCAAGGCUUUGACGGGUAGCCGGCCUGAGAGGGUGACCGGCCACAUUGGGACUGAGAUACGGCCCAGACUCCUACGGGAGGCAGCAGUGGGGAAUAUUGCACAAUGGGCGGAAGCCUGAUGCAGCAACGCCGCGUGCGGGAUGACGGCCUUCGGGUUGUAAACCGCUUUCGCCUGUGACGAAGCGUGAGUGACGGUAAUGGGUAAAGAAGCACCGGCUAACUACGUGCCAGCAGCCGCGGCGAUACGUAGGGUGCGAGCGUUGUCCGGAUUUAUUGGGCGUAAAGGGCUCGUAGGUGGUUGAUCGCGUCGGAAGUGUAAUCUUGGGGCUUAACCCUGAGCGUGCUUUCGAUACGGGUUGACUUGAGGAAGGUAGGGGAGAAUGGAAUUCCUGGUGGAGCGGUGGAAUGCGCAGAUAUCAGGAGGAACACCAGUGGCGAAGGCGGUUCUCUGGGCCUUUCCUGACGUUGAGGAGCGAAAGCGUGGGGAGCGAACAGGCUUAGAUACCCUGGUAGUCCACGCUGUAAACGGUGGGUACUAGGUGUGGGGUCCAUUCCACGGGUUCCGUGCCGUAGCUAACGCUUUAAGUACCCCGCCUGGGGAGUACGGCCGCAAGGCUAAAACUCAAAGGAAUUGACGGGGCCCCGCACAAGCGGCGGAGCAUGCGGAUUAAUUCGAUGCAACGCGUAGAACCUUACCUGGGUUUGACAUGGAUCGGGAGUGCUCAGAGAUGGGUGUGCCUCUUUUGGGGUCGGUUCACAGGUGGUGCAUGGCUGUCGUCAGCUCGUGUCGUGAGAUGUUGGGUUAAGCCCCGCAACGAGCGCAACCCUUGUUCACUGUUGCCAGCACGUUAUGGUGGGGACUCAGUGGAGACCGCCGGGGUCAACUCGGAGGAAGGUGGGGAUGACGUCAAGUCAUCAUGCCCCUUAUGUCCAGGGCUUCACGCAUGCUACAAUGGCUGGUACAGAGAGUGGCGAGCCUGUGAGGGUGAGCGAAUCUCGGAAAGCCGGUCUCAGUUCGGAUUGGGGUCUGCAACUCGACCUCAUGAAGUCGGAGUCGCUAGUAAUCGCAGAUCAGCAACGCUGCGGUGAAUACGUUCCCGGGGCU
rnacentral:rRNA from 1 species